UACGUAGGUGGCAAGCGUUGUCCGGAUUUACUGGGCGUAAAGGGCGUGCAGGCGGUUUGUUAAGUUCAGGGUGAAAGCUCCCGGCUCAACUGGGAGAGGUCCUUGGAUACUGGCAGACUUGAGGAGGGUAGAGGUGAGUGGAAUUCCGAGUGUAGAGGUGAAAUUCGUAGAUAUUCGGAGGAACACCAGUGGCGAAGGCGGCUCACUGGUCCAUUACUGACGCUGAGGUGCGAAAGCGUGGGGAGCAAACAGG
rnacentral:rRNA from 1 species